rnacentral:rRNA from 1 species
ACAAGCGAAUAAGUGCACAUGGUGGAUGCCUUGGCGAUAUCAGGCGAUGAAGGACGUUGUAGCCUGCGAAAAGCUGCGGGGAGCUGGCAAACAAGCAUUGAUCCGCAGAUGUCCGAAUGGGGAAACCCGGCCUUUUAGGUCAUCGUAUUCUGAAUACAUAGGAAUACGAAGCGAACGUGGCGAACUGAAACAUCUAAGUAGCUACAGGAAAAGAAAUCAACCGAGAUUCCCAAAGUAGUGGCGAGCGAAAUGGGACCAGCCUGCAAGAUUUAGCAUCAGUGAUAGUGGAACGCUCUGGAAAGUGCGGCCAUAGAGGGUGAUAGCCCCUUACGCGAAAUCAUUGGUGUGGAACUAGGCUUGCGACAAGUAGGGCGGGACACGUGAAAUCCUGUCUGAAGAUGGGGGGACCAUCCUCCAAGGCUAAAUACUCGAUAUCGACCGAUAGUGAACCAGUACCGUGAGGGAAAGGCGAAAAGAACCCCGGAAGGGGAGUGAAAUAGAUCCUGAAACCGUGUGCAUACAAACAGUCGGAGCCUCGCAAGGGGUGACGGCGUACCUUUUGUAUAAUGGGUCAGCGACUUACAUUCAGUGGCGAGCUUAACCGAAUAGGGGAGGCGUAGCGAAAGCGAGUCCGAACAGGGCGUCCAGUCGCUGGGUGUAGACCCGAAACCAGAUGAUCUACCCAUGGCCAGGAUGAAGGUGCGGUAACACGCACUGGAGGUCCGAACCCACUAGUGUUGAAAAACUAGGGGAUGAGCUGUGGGUAGGGGUGAAAGGCUAAACAAAUCUGGAAAUAGCUGGUUCUCUCCGAAAACUAUUUAGGUAGUGCCUCAAGUAUCACCAUCGGGGGUAGAGCACUGUUAUGGCUAGGGGGUCAUCGCGACUUACCAAACCAUUGCAAACUCCGAAUACCGAUGAGUGCGAGCUUGGGAGACAGACGCCGGGUGCUAACGUCCGACGUCAAGAGGGAAACAACCCAGACCGCCAGCUAAGGUCCCAAAGAUUGGCUAAGUGGAAAACGAGGUGGGAAGGCUAAAACAGUCAGGAGGUUGGCUUAGAAGCAGCCAUCCUUUAAAGAAAGCGUAAUAGCUCACUGAUCGAGUCGUCCUGCGCGGAAGAUGUAACGGGGCUAAGCCAGUCACCGAAGCUGCGGAUCUGCUUUUAGCAGAUGGUAGGAGAGCGUUCUGUAAGCCUGCGAAGGUGUCUCGUAAGGGAUGCUGGAGGUAUCAGAAGUGCGAAUGCUGACAUGAGUAGCGAUAAUGCGGGUGAAAGGCCCGCACGCCGUAAGCCCAAGGUUUCCUGUUCAACGUUCAUCGGAGCAGGGUGAGUCGGCCCCUAAGGCGAGGCAGAGAUGCGUAGCUGAUGGGAAGCAGGUUAAUAUUCCUGCACCGUCGUUAGAUGCGAUGGGGGGACGGAUCGUGGAAGGUUGUCCGGGUGUUGGAUGUCCCGGUUCCUGUAUCGUAGACGGCUGGUAGGCAAAUCCGCCAGCCAUUAGUCAAGGGUAUGGGACGAGUGGCUUUGUGCCGCGAAGCAAUCGGAAGGGGUCCCAAGAAAAGCCUCUAAGCUUCAGUCUAACGAGACCGUACCGCAAACCGACACAGGUGGGCGAGAUGAGUAUUCUAAGGCGCUUGAGAGAACUCGGGAGAAGGAACUCGGCAAAUUGGUACCGUAACUUCGGGAUAAGGUACGCCCUGGUAGCUUGACCGUGUACAACGGAAGGGUGACGGGGUUGCAAUAAACUGGUGGCUGCGACUGUUUAAUAAAAACACAGCACUCUGCAAACACGAAAGUGGACGUAUAGGGUGUGACGCCUGCCCGGUGCUGGAAGAUUAAAUGAUGGGGUGCAAGCUCUUGAUUGAAGUCCCAGUAAACGGCGGCCGUAACUAUAACGGUCCUAAGGUAGCGAAAUUCCUUGUCGGGUAAGUUCCGACCUGCACGAAUGGCGUAACGAUGGCCACACUGUCUCCUCCCGAGACUCAGCGAAGUUGAAAUGUUUGUGAUGAUGCAAUCUCCCCGCGGCUAGACGGAAAGACCCCAUGAACCUUUACUGUAGCUUUGCAUUGGACUGUGAACCAAUCUGUGUAGGAUAGGUGGGAGGCUUUGAAGCGGUGACGCCAGUUGCCGUGGAGCCGUCCUUGAAAUACCACCCUGGUUUGUUUGCGGUUCUAACCUUGGCCCGUGAUCCGGGUUGGGGACAGUGCAUGGUAGGCAGUUUGACUGGGGCGGUCUCCUCCCAAAGUGUAACGGAGGAGUUCGAAGGUACGCUAGGUACGGUCGGACAUCGUGCUAAUAGUGCAAUGGCAUAAGCGUGCUUAACUGCGAGACUGACAAGUCGAGCAGGUACGAAAGUAGGACAUAGUGAUCCGGUGGUUCUGUAUGGAAGGGCCAUCGCUCAACGGAUAAAAGGUACUCUGGGGAUAACAGGCUGAUUCCUCCCAAGAGUUCAUAUCGACGGGGGAGUUUGGCACCUCGAUGUCGGCUCAUCACAUCCUGGGGCUGUAGCCGGUCCCAAGGGUAUGGCUGUUCGCCAUUUAAAGUGGUACGUGAGCUGGGUUUAAAACGUCGUGAGACAGUUUGGUCCCUAUCUGCCGUGGGCGUUGGAAGUUUGAGGGGGGCUGCUCCUAGUACGAGAGGACCGGAGUGGACGAACCUCUGGUGUACCGGUUGUCACGCCAGUGGCAUUGCCGGGUAGCUAAGUUCGGAAGAGAUAACCGCUGAAAGCAUCUAAGCGGGAAACUCGCCUCAAGAUGAGACUUCCCGGAGACUUGAUCUCCCUAAAGGGUCGUUCGAGACCAGGACGUUGAUAGGCUGGGUGUGGAAGCGCAGUAAUGCGUUAAGCUAACCAGUACUAAUUGCCCGUGCGGCUUGUC